rnacentral:pre_miRNA from 1 species
UUUGUACUCCCUCCGUCCCAAAAUUCUUGUCUUAAAUUUGUCUAAAUACAGAUGUAUCUAGUUACAUUUUAGUGUUAGAUACAUCCGUAUCUAAACAAAUGUAAGACAGGAAUUUUGGGACGGAGGGAAUACUAC